rnacentral:rRNA from 1 species
UACGUAGGGGGCAAGCGUUGUCCGGAUUUAUUGGGCGUAAAGAGCGUGUAGGCGGCCGCACAGGUCCGUUGUGAAAACUGGAGGCUCAACCUUCAGACGUCGAUGGAAACCGUGCGGCUAGAGUCCGGAAGAGGAGAGUGGAAUUCCAGGUGUAGCGGUGAAAUGCGUAGAUAUCUGGAGGAACACCGGUGGCGAAGGCGGCAUCCUGGACCAACACUGACGCUGAGGAGCGAAAGCCAGGGGAGCAAACGGG